rnacentral:lncRNA from 1 species
UAAGGGAAUUUAUGAAAUAAUAACGAAUACCUUAGAUUGGGAUAAAAUUUUAGGAAAAGGUGAGAAAGAGAAGGAUUGAAAGGGUUUUCCUGAAUAUAAAAUGAAUUUUAUCUAAAUAAAUAUUCCUUAAGUGGUUUUACUAUUUUCUACAACGUUUAGGCAAACUAUUAUGUUGUUUGGUUUUUUUAUUCUUACUAUCACAUACCAUAUCCUGUAUUAUAGGGUAAUGAUCAUAACAUACUUACU